rnacentral:rRNA from 1 species
GAUGAACGCUGGCGGCGUGCUUAACACAUGCAAGUCGAACGGAGUUUACUUAACAGAUUUCUUCGGAAUGAUGUUUUUUAAACUUAGUGGCGGACGGGUGAGUAACGCGUGGGUAACCUGCCUUACACAGGGGGAUAGCAGUUGGAGACGACUGGUACUACCGCAUACCUUACAUUAUUCGCAUGUUUGAUGUAAGAAAGAUUUUAUCGGUGUAAGAUGGACCCGCGUCUGAUUAGCUAGUCGGUGUGGUAACGGCAUACCAAGGCGACGAUCAGUAGCCGGCCUGAGAGGGUGAACGGCCACAUUGGGACUGAGAUACGGCCCAGACUCCUACGGGAGGCAGCAGUGGGGAAUAUUGCACAAUGGAGGCAACUCUGAUGCAGCGACGCCGCGUGAGUGAAGAAGUAUUUCGGUAUGUAAAGCUCUAUCAGUAGGGAAGAUAAUGACGGUACCUACAGAAGAAGCCCCGGCUAAAUACGUGCCAGCAGCCGCAGUAA